rnacentral:rRNA from 1 species
AUUGAACGCUGGCGGCAGGCCUAACACAUGCAAGUCGAGCGAGCGGCGGACGGGUGAGUAAUGUCUGGGAAACUGCCUGAUGGAGGGGGAUAACUACUGGAACCGGUAGCUAAUCCCGCAUACCAUCAGAUGUGCCCCGGUGGGAUGAGCUAGUGGGUGGGGUAACGGCCCACCUAGGCGACGAUCCCUAGCUGGUCUGAGAGGAUGACCAGCCACACUGGAACUGAGACACGGUCCAGACUCCUACGGGAGGCAGCAGUGGGGAAUAUUGCACAAUGGGCGCAAGCCUGAUGCAGCCAUGCGGCGUGUAUGAAGAAGGCCUUCGGGUUGUAAAGUACUUUCAGCGGGGAGGCGUUACCCGCAGAAGAAGCACCGGCUAACUCCGUGCCAGCAGCCGCGGUAAUAC